GACAAAUGAUGCCCUCAGACUCCUCAGGACAAGUUUGGGGCCCCUCAUCUCAUUUGCUAUUUCUAUACUGUACGUGGGCUUUAGAAAGAGAAUGGAACGUAAAGUCAGUGCAAGUAGGGUGAGCAUCUAGAAUUUUAAAUGAACCUGGAAAAUUCCUCUAGGCUUCAGGUAAACUCUUGGACAGCUGAGACUUCAGGAAUCAGCAGCUGCUGAGAGAGCUGGUUGUAGUUCACCUGUGUGGGAAGUAGGUGCACAGUGCUUGAAGACUGAAAAUUAUCCCCUCAUGCUGGGGGAUGAAAUCCAGAGCAACAACAUGAUUCUUCAUUCUGAGAUUCCAGCU